rnacentral:lncRNA from 1 species
UAAAACUAAAAUUAAAAGAAGUCUAAAGUAACUAAACCCUAAAAUAGAUUAAUCUGAUAUAGCAAAAUGAAUUAACUAAAAAAUACUCAACUUGAAACUUUAAUAGUUUAUUUUAAUUUUUUUAUUGUUUUUGAUUAUCCUAAAAUCUAAGACUAAAUAAAAACACAAUUCUUUAAACCUAAUUGAUACCCAAUAACACACAUAUAAUCCGUAAUAUAAAAUGAGAGUUUAUAAAAAGCAAAAUAAAUUUAAAAGCUACUAAAUACGUAAUAAAAUAAAAUAAUAAAAAACUUUAGAAGGUUUCAACACCUCUCCCUAAUAUUUAUCUCCUCAUACUGUUAUUUCU